UUUUUUUUUGGUUUUGG
rnacentral:sRNA from 1 species